rnacentral:rRNA from 1 species
GACGAACGCUGGCGGCGUGCUUAACACAUGCAAGUCGAACGGUAAGGCCCUUCGGGGUACACGAGUGGCGAACGGGUGAGUAACACGUGGGUGAUCUGCCCUGCACUUCGGGAUAAGCCUGGGAAACUGGGUCUAAUACCGGAUAGGACCACUGCCUGCAUGGGUGGUGGUGGAAAGCUUUUGCGGUGUGGGAUGGGCCCGCGGCCUAUCAGCGUGUUGGUGGGGUGAUGGCCUACCAAGGCGACGACGGGUAGCCGGCCUGAGAGGGUGACCGGCAACACUGGGACUGGGAGACGGCCCAGACGCCUACGGGAGGCAGCAGUGGGGAAUAUUGCACAAUGGGCGCAAGCCUGAUGCAGCGACGCCGCGUGAGGGAUGACGGCCUUCGGGUUGUAAACCUCGUUCAGCACCGACGAAGCGCAAGUGACGGUAGGUGCAGAAGAAGGACCGGCCAACUACGUGCCAGCCGCCGCGGUAA